rnacentral:misc_RNA from 1 species
GAUGAAGAACGUAGCGAAAUGCGAUAAGUAGUGUGAAUUGCAGAAUUCAGUGAAUCAUCGAAUCUUUGAACGCACAUUGCGCCCCUCGGUAUUCCGUGGGGCAUGCCUGUUCGAGCGUCAUCUACACCCUCAAGCUCUGCUUGGUGUUGGGCGUCUGUCCCGCCUCCGCGCGUGGACUCGCCCCAAAUUCAUUGGCAGCGGUCCUUGCCUCCUCUCGCGCAGCACAUUGCGCUUCUCGAGGGGCUACGGCUCGCGUCCAACAAGCACAUUUACCGUCUUUGACCUCGGAUCAGGUAGGGAUACCCGCUGAACUUAAGCAUAUCAUAAGCGGAGGA